AGCAGCCGCGGUAAUUCCAGCUCCAAUAGCGUAUAUUAAAGUUGUUGCAGUUAAAAGCUCGUAGUUGAAUUUCGGGACCAAUCUGCCGGUCGUGCCUCCGGUAUGCACUGGUUUUAUUGGUUUCUCCCUUCUGACGAAUCAUGAUGUCAUUAAUUUGGUGUCAUGGGGAAUCAGGACUAUUACUUUGAAAAAAUUAGAGUGUUUAAAGCAGGCUCACGCUUGAAUACAUUAGCAUGGAAUAAUGAAAUAGGACGUUUGACCCUAUUUUGUUGGUUUCUAGGAUCGACGUAAUGAUUAAUAGGGAUAGUUGGGGGCAUUAGUAUUCAAUUGUCAGAGGUGAAAUUCUUGGAUUUAUUGAAGACUAACUACUGCGAAAGCAUUUGCCAAGGAUGUUUUCAUUAAUCAAGAACGAAAGUUAGGGGAUCGAAGACGAUCAGAUACCGUCGUAGUCUUAACCAUAAACUAUGCCGACUAGGGAUCGGAUGAUGUUAUUUUUUUAAUGACUCAUUCGGCACCUUAC
rnacentral:misc_RNA from 2 species